AUUUAAUGAGGGCCACCCUCCAAUGGCGCAGAUCACUCCACCCAGUGACCCAACAACUGUGAGCAGCCAACAUGAGCUACAGGUGGGGAGCACCAGGAUCGCUGCUGGCCACUCACAACGGGACUACCCAUACACUUACCUCUCUUGCAGAAGCCCCGACCUUUCUUGAAACUCUGGGACUGAAAGCAGCGGACACACACACC